UACGGGGGGGGCAAGCGUUGUUCGGAAUUACUGGGCGUAAAGGGUUCGUAGGUGGCCGGCUAAGUCAGACGUGAAAUCCCUGGGCUCAACCCAGGAACUGCGUCCGAUACUGGUUGGCUUGAAUCCGGGAGAGGGAUGCGGAAUUCCAGGUGUAGCGGUGAAAUGCGUAGAUAUCUGGAGGAAUACCGGUGGCGAAGGCGGCAUCCUGGACCAUUACUGACGCUGAGGCGCGAAAGCUAGGGGAGCGAACGGG
rnacentral:rRNA from 1 species